rnacentral:rRNA from 1 species
UACAGAGGUGGCAAGCGUUGUUCGGAAUUACUGGGCGUAAAGGGCGCGUAGGCGGUCUUGCAAGUCCCGUGUGAAAUCCCUCGGCUCAACUGAGGAACUGCACGGGAAACUGCUUGGCUUGAGUUCGGGAGAGGGAAGCGGAAUUCCGGGUGUAGCGGUGAAAUGCGUAGAUAUCUGGAGGAAUACCGGUGGCGAAGGCGGCAUCCUGGACCAUUACUGACGCUGAGGCGCGAAAGCUAGGGGAGCAAACGGG